rnacentral:rRNA from 1 species
GAUGAACGCUAGCGGCAGGCCUAAUACAUGCAAGUCGAGGGGUAGAAGAGAGCUUGCUCUCUUUGAGACCGGCGCACGGGUGCGUAACGCGUAUGCAACCUACCUUAAUCAGGGGGGAUAGCCUCUCGAAAGAGAGAUUAACACCGCAUAAAACACAGUAUCGCAUGGUACAAUGUUCAAAUAUUUAUAGGAUUAAGAUGGGCAUGCGUGACAUUAGCUAGUUGGUGAGGUAACGGCUCACCAAGGCGACGAUGUCUAGGGGAUCUGAGAGGAUGACCCCCACACUGGUACUGAGACACGGACCAGACUCCUACGGGAGGCAGCAGUAAGGAAUAUUGGUCAAUGGGGCAACCUGAACCAGCCAUGCCGCGUGCAGGAAGACGGCCCUAUGGGUUGUAAACUGCUUUUGUACGGGAAUAAAGCCUCACUACGAGUAGUGAGUUGAAUGUACUGU